GGCGGCGUGCUUAACACAUGCAAGUCGAGUGCGCGGUUGUAGCAAUACAACUGGCGCACGGCGCACGGGUGCGUAACACGUGGGUAACCUGCCCUUUAGUGGGGAAUAACCCCGGGAAACCGGGGCUAAUACCGCAUAAGAUCCGCAAGGAUGAAAGCCGUAAGGCGCUGAUGGAGGGGCCCGCGCACGAUUAGCUAGUUGGUAGGGUAACGGCCUACCAAGGCUAUGAUCGUUAGCUGGUCUGAGAGGAUGGCCAGCCACACUGGAACUGAGACACGGUCCAGACUCCUACGGGAGGCAGCAGUGGGGAUAUCUUGCACAAUGGGCGAAAGCCUGAUGCAGCGACGCCGCGUGGGGGAUGAAGCUUCUCCGGAGUGUAAACCCCUUUCGACCCGGACGAAUGCCCGCAAGGGAUUGACGGUACGGGUAUUAGAAGCCCCGGCUAACUAC
rnacentral:rRNA from 1 species